rnacentral:rRNA from 1 species
UACGUAGGGUGCAAGCGUUAAUCGGAAUUACUGGGCGUAAAGCGUGCGCAGGCGGCUAUGCAAGACAGAUGUGAAAGCCCCGGGCUUAACCUGGGAACUGCGUUUGAAACUGGGAGACUUGAGUGUGGCAGAGGGGCGUGGAAUUCCACGUGUAGCAGUGAAAUGCGUAGAUAUGUGGAGGAACACCGAUGGCGAAGGCAGCCCCCUGGGUUAACACUGACGCUCAUGCACGAAAGCGUGGGGAGCAAACAGG